CAAUAACAACAAUAACGAAAGAAAUAUCACCGAUUUACUACCUACUAGAUCUAGAGAGUCGGAGGCUAGACUUGGAGGAACGACUUGUUUCAGCAGUCGAAAAGCUGGCUGGCUACAGCUGCUGAAGCUAAUAGCAAGGCCGCGGAUAUGCAAACAGAGUUGCUUCGGCUGCUGCUGGAGGAAGUUAGGUGAAGACCAAUAUAAGGUUAAAGAAUAGCAGCAUGACAAUUCUCAAGAACGAAGACACUAGAGAAACUAAGUUAAAAUACUUAAGUAAAAACAUAUGUAUUCAAUAAACUUGUAUGUAAAUAUUUAAGCUAAAGUAUAAGUACUCCAUUUAUGUUAUUUAAGUGAAGUUGUAUUUAAUUAAAAUACUUAAGUUUGGUCAUGUUAUUUAAGUGAGUUUGUCUAGGGGUAACA